GUAGAUUUAAGUUAAGUUAAACUAUUAGUUUUCAAAACUGAAAAUAUUAAUCUAUA
rnacentral:tRNA from 1 species